ACUCGAGUGGCGAACGGGUGAGCAACACGUGGGUGAUCUGCCCUGCACUUCGGGAUAAGCCUGGGAAACUGGGUCUAAUACCGGAUAGGAGCCAUUUUUAGUGUGAUGGUUGGAAAGUUUUUCGGUGUAGGAUGAGCUCGCGGCCUAUCAGCUUGUUGGUGGGGUAAUGGCCUACCAAGGCGGCGACGGGUAGCCGGCCUGAGAGGGUGGACGGCCACAUUGGGACUGAGAUACGGCCCAG
rnacentral:rRNA from 1 species